AUUGAACGCUGGCGGCAUGCCUUACACAUGCAAGUCGAACGGCAGCACGGGAGCAAUCCUGGUGGCGUGUGGCGAACGGGUGAGUAAAGUAUCGGAACGUGCCCAGUCGUGGGGGAUAACGUAGCGAAAGUUACGCUAAUACCGCAUACGAUCUAUGGAUGAAAGCGGGGGAUCGGAAGACCUCGCGCCAUUGGAGCGUCCGAUAUCAGAUUAGGUAGUUGGGGGGGUAAAGGCUCACCAAGCCGACGAUCUGUAGCUGGUCUGAGAGGACGACCAGCCACAAUGGGACUGUGACACGGCCCAGACUCCGGCGGGAGGCAGCGGUGGGGAAUUGUGGACAAUGGGCGAAAGCCUGAUCCAGCCAGGCCGCGUGAAGGAUGAAGGCCUUCGGGUUGUAAACUGCUUUUGUACGGAACGAAAAGGUUUGGCCUAAUAAGCUGAGCUCAUGACGGUACCGUAAGAAUAAGCACCGGCUAACUACGUGCCAGCAGCCGCGGUAA
rnacentral:rRNA from 1 species